rnacentral:lncRNA from 1 species
CUGCGCCAACAUGCGUCGAUGGGUUUCUAUUGGUUUCGUGCCUUCACUGUGUAGGAAAUGGAUCAUUCCACACUGCUCUUCUUUGGUGCAUUCCAACAGAGAAGCUGCCAUAUUGGAAACGCCCUUAUGUCUCUUCUGGGUCAUGUGGGGAUGCAGGAUCAAUGCCAAUUGAUGGCGGGAGAGUCCACGUGCACGCCUACCAGGUCUGAUCGCAAUGGGAGAAGUUUUCGAUUUUCUACAACGGUUUUCUGGUUUUCAUUUGACUCAGCCUCAUAUGAUCCUUUUUUGGAAAAAUUGAGAAAAGUUUCUAAAACUAUUACUACAGUAGAGUCUCCCUAAUCCGACACAUGAUUUCGGGGCUUGUUGGAUUUCAGAUAUUUGUUGGGUUAUUGGAUGUUCAAGGAAAAAAUGAAAUUACACAAAUGAAUAUGACUUAAGACUUUCCUUUCAC